UGGGGAAUAUUGGACAAUGGGCGAAAGCCUGAUCCAGCAAUGCCGCGUGUGUGAAGAAGGCCCUCGGGUUGUAAAGCACUUUUAUCAGGAACGAAAUACCACGGGUUAAUAACCUAUGGGGCUGACGGUACCUGAGGAAUAAGCACCGGCUAACUUCGUGCCAGCAGCCGCGGUAAUACGAAGGGUGCAAGCGUUAAUCGGAAUUACUGGGCGUAAAGGGUGCGUAGGCGGUUGUUUAAGUCUGUCGUGAAAUCCCCGGGCUCAACCUGGGAAUGGCGAUGGAUACUGGGCAGCUAGAGUGUGUCAGAGGAUGGUGGAAUUCCCGGUGUAGCGGUGAAAUGCGUAGAGAUCGGGAGGAACAUCAGUGGCGAAGGCGGCCAUCUGGGACAACACUGACGCUGAAGCACGAAAGCGUGGGGAGCAAACA
rnacentral:rRNA from 1 species